ensembl:snRNA U6 U6 spliceosomal RNA
AAGGAUGCUUGCUUCCAUAGUAAAAUUGGAAGGAUACAGAGAAGAUUAGCAUGGCCCCAGCACAAGAAUGACACCCAAAUUCAUGAAGCUUUCCAUAUUAAA